rnacentral:rRNA from 1 species
CCUACGGGUGGCAGCAGUGAGGAAUAUUGGUCAAUGGGCGCGAGCCUGAACCAGCCAAGUAGCGUGAAGGAUGACUGCCCUACGGGCUGUAAACUUCUUUUAUAAAGGAAUAAAGUCAGGCACGUGUGCCUUUUUGUAUGUACUUUAUGAAUUAGGAACGGCUAAAUCCGUGCCAGCAGCCGCGGUAAUACGGAGGAUCCGAGCGUUAUCCGGAUUUAUUGGGUUUAAAGGGAGCGUAGAUGGGUUGUUAAGUCAGUUGUGAAAGUUUGCGGCUCAACCGUAAAAUUGCAAUUGAUACUGGCAGUCUUGAGUGCAGAUGAGGUAAGCGGAAUUCGAGGUGUAGCGGUGAAAUGCGUAGAUAUCACGAAGAACUCCGAUGGCGAAGGCAGCUUACUAAUCUGCCACUGACGUUGAUGCUCGAAAGUGUGGGUAUCAAACAGGAUUAGAUACCCCAGUAGUC